rnacentral:rRNA from 1 species
UACGUAGGGUGCAAGCGUUAAUCGGAAUUACUGGGCGUAAAGCGUGCGCAGGCGGUUGUGCAAGACCGAUGUGAAAUCCCCGGGCUUAACCUGGGAAUGGCAUUGGUGACUGCACGGCUAGAGUGUGUCAGAGGGGGGUAGAAUUCCACGUGUAGCAGUGAAAUGCGUAGAGAUGUGGAGGAAUACAGAUGGCGAAGGCAGCCCCCUGGGAUAACACUGACGCUCAUGCACGAAAGCGUGGGGAGCAAACAGG